rnacentral:misc_RNA from 1 species
CUGAGCUUCAUUGCCUAAGGAAGAGUCUUCUGACUCCCCUUAGGUGAGAACUCCACCCUUUGUUUACAUUACCUUUGUUGCUUUAGCAGGUCCGCCUCCGGGCAACCGGCUUUUCUGCUGGUUAGUACCUGCUAAGGGACCUAAAACUCUUGUUAAUUAUGUCGUCUGAGUACUAUAUAAUAGUUA